UGUAGGGGGGUGCUAUACAUGCAAGUCGAACGCUUUGUGGUUCAACUGAUUUGAAGAGCUUGCUCAGAUAUGACGAUGGACAUUGCAAAGAGUGGCGAACGGGUGAGUAACACGUGGGAAACCUACCUCUUAGCAGGGGAUAACAUUUGGAAACAGAUGCUAAUACCGUAUAACAAUGACAACCGCAUGGUUGUUAUUUAAAAGAUGGUUCUGCUAUCACUAAGAGAUGGUCCCGCGGUGCAUUAGCUAGUUGGUAAGGUAAUGGCUUACCAAGGCGAUGAUGCAUAGCCGAGUUGAGAGACUGAUCGGCCACAAUGGGACUGAGACACGGCCCAUACUCCUACGGGAGGCAGCAGUAGGGAAUCUUCCACAAUGGGCGAAAGCCUGAUGGAGCAACGCCGCGUGUGUGAUGAAGGGUUUCGGCUCGUAAAACACUGUUGUAAGAGAAGAAUGACAUUGAGAGUAACUGUUCAAUGUGUGACGGUAUCUUACCAGAAAGGAACGGCUAAAUACGUGCCAGCAGCCGCGGUAAUACGUAUGUUCCAAGCGUUAUCCGGAUUUAUUGGGCGUAAAGCGAGCGCAGACGGUUAUUUAAGUCUGAAGUGAAAGCCCUCAGCUCAACUGAGGAAUUGCUUUGGAAACUGGAUGACUUGAGUGCAGUAGAGGAAAGUGGAACUCCAUGUGUAGCGGUGAAAUGCGUAGAUAUAUGGAAGAACACCAGUGGCGAAGGCGGCUUUCUGGACUGUAACUGACGUUGAGGCUCGAAAGUGUGGGUAGCAAACAGGAUUAGAUACCCUGGUAGUCCACACCGUAAACGAUGAGUGCUAGGUGUUUGAGGGUUUCCGCCCUUAAGUGCCGCAGCUAACGCAUUAAGCACUCCGCCUGGGGAGUACGACCGCAAGGUUGAAACUCAAAGGAAUUGACGGGGACCCGCACAAGCGGUGGAGCAUGUGGUUUAAUUCGAAGCAACGCGAAGAACCUUACCAGGUCUUGACAUCCCUUGACAACUCCAGAGAUGGAGCGUUCCCUUCGGGGACAAGGUGACAGGUGGUGCAUGGUUGUCGUCAGCUCGUGUCGUGAGAUGUUGGGUUAAGUCCCGCAACGAGCGCAACCCUUAUUACUAGUUGCCAGCAUUCAGUUGGGCACUCUAGUGAGACUGCCGGUGACAAACCGGAGGAAGGUGGGGAUGACGUCAAAUCAUCAUGCCCCUUAUGACCUGGGCUACACACGUGCUACAAUGGCGUAUACAACGAGUUGCCAACCCGCGAGGGUGAGCUAAUCUCUUAAAGUACGUCUCAGUUCGGAUUGUAGGCUGCAACUCGCCUACAUGAAGUCGGAAUCGCUAGUAAUCGCGGAUCAGCACGCCGCGGUGAAUACGUUCCCGGGUCUUGUACACACCGCCCGUCACACCAUGAGAGUUUGUAACACCCAAAGCCGGUGGGGUAACCUUCGGGAGCCAGCCGUCUAAGGGGACCCAU
rnacentral:rRNA from 1 species